AACAGUGAAUGCUUAAUAGUCGUUUACUGCCAAUGGUUUUCAUGAAAGAAUCGAGACAUAAAGACGAAUAUCAUGUACAGACCAAUUAGCAAAGCUAAGAAUACCCACUCAACAGAACUUUAUCACUUUUUGUGAACAUUGUGAAUUUCAAGUCUUCUAUCACCGCUAAUCUUUUCAUUGAUAAUGGAUAGAGCUAGUUCCUCGGGGAAUCCAGUGGACAUUAAUCCAAAAGUUCGAAGACCUGGAUUUGGUAUCAAAAUGUUGUCAAAACUGCUGGUCUAGAGAUAAACGCAACAUUGAUGGGAGGCGACUGGGAGCACUGUAGAAUGUCGAACGUUUCAAAGUAAAAUAAAAUAUUUAAAAGAACAAAUUACAUCUCACGAAUGAGGUUAUGUCAACUCGAACUUCUGAACAUUCUGUGAAAAAUAAAGUGAGUGGAAUUUGAGUUAUGAAGCCUGUAGGUUACCCAGCUAUUCAUGUCUUCUUGUUAUUUAUUAUAAGCAUUAACAUACCAAAAAAACUAAAACAGAGUAAAAUCAUUUCAUCUAAAUCUAGAAUUGCACAGAGUUCUCUGUAUGGACCCCUCUUAUUCAUUCAUUAAUGUGAAAUUGGAUUGAUUCCUCGCAAUAUCUGUAUACAAAUUGAAUGACUCCAUGUUUAAUAUGAUAACUGUCUCAAAUGAAAAAAAAAUUGAUCAAAGAAGAAUCUAAAACUAUAUCACAAAAAUGUAAAUAAAAAAUCCAAUAAACAACAGUAACAACCAUAUGGUAAGGGGGCUAUAAAUUUUGAAUUUUUCAAUAAUGUUUGGUUACUAUAAUAAUAAGUAUUGUCAUAAGUAAAACAAAUACACAGAGCAAAAUAAUGACGAUUACCUAUAUUUGGCUAUACUUUGCAUUGCUAUUAAAGUAGAGUGGGUUAUACUAUAUAUACGCCAUUUUACAUAAUUUUGCA